UUUGAAAUAAAAAUUUUUGUCACAGAUUGUUAAAAGGGGAAGUUUGUUUGGAUUCUAUUUGUAAUUGAUUUUAUUCGUAUCCAAAAUCUAGGCUAUUUGAGUGGUAAUUGACAUAAAAAGAUUUGGGGCUAGUAGAGUCAUAAGAGAAAUCAGAGACAUUCAAGAAACAGAGCGUCGACCAAUAGAUAACUACCUGGACUCGCGCUCGAGCACUGAAGAGAAAUUUGAAGUCGAACACUGGCACUUGCUUGGCGCCACCUGCCAGCUUGAGUGGCGGGCUAUCAUUCACUUGGCAUCUACCUAGCGCUCAAGGGACAGUAUUAUCUGGCCAAAAUUCUGUUUUGAUUUUAGUGCUGAUUUUGAAACCCAUUAUAUCCUAAACACUUCCUACAAUAAAUAUAAAAUCACAUGUCCGUUCCAAAGAGUAUUGAAUCAUUAGUAUACUUUAGAGAUCACAUUCUUUAAGAUCCAAAACAUAUUCCAAAGAUCUCUUGAUUCAACCCAUGAUCAUUGAUUAUAAAUUCAUCCCAAAACACAUUAUAUUAUUGGGAAAACCUUGUUAUAAGUCAAGAGAUUAUCCUUUAAAAUCGAAAUACACAUUCCAAUAAAUCUUGCAUCGGCCUACAGAAAACACAAAAGAUCCUUUGAUCAAACAUCAAAACGAAAUCCUACCUUUGCUAAUUAGCCAUUAGAGUUCUAGAGUUUUGGGAAGAGGUGCUUGGAGUUUCAAUGCUCAAGGAUGAGGUUUGUUCUUGUCGAUACACAUGAAGAGAAAAGUAGCUCAAAGUUUUGAGAAGUGUGGAAGUCCACUAUCAGAAGAGUUCCUUGGUGAUUUACAAGCUAGAUGGCUAGAGUCAGCUAAGCCACCUAAGGUUUAGCGAUAUCUAGACUAAUUGUAAGUUAAUUUUUCUAGUGGAUUUUAAUGGUAAAUUCGCCCGGAGGUUUUCGAUACCUAGAGUUUUUCAAGGAAUUUUCCUCCAUGCUCAUAUUUGGUGCUAUUUAUUUAUUUACUACUUUGAUGUUUUAGAUAGUUUAAACCUAGGAAUUAAUUGAAUUAAUGAUCUUAAACACACACACACAUAUAUUCCCUUUUUCAAUUUAUUGUUUAAAUUCUUAAUUUUUGAAAUCAGAAUUAGAUGGGUUUUUAAGAAGAGAAAUUGAUUACGAAAUGAGGCUGUGAAGUACAAUCGAGAGAGUGGAAAUGCUAAUUUGGGAAUGGGUUUUGAAGAUUUGAGUAUCAAUUUCGUGACGACGAAGAAGGAAUUCUUCAUCAGAGAUUUGGGCGUGUGUGGUUAUGGGUGUGGGUUUAGUUUUAAUUUGGUAGUGAAGAAGAUGUGGUAGGGGCAAAAGUGCAAUUGAAAGAGAAAAAGAUGGAGUAGAGAGAUGUGGGGGAUUGGGAGCAGAUUUCCUUUCUUUUUCUUUUUCUUUUUAAUUUAAUUAUUCUAAUAGUUAAUAUUUGAAAAAAAAAUAUAUAAAUAUGCCUUUGACUCUUUUUAAUUAGGUCAAAAUUCGACCUUUUUUUUUUUUUUUGUCAGCUAAUGGUCAAACGGAUGAAAUGUCCUUGUACUGCAACGAAAUAAAAAAUUCGAAAUUAUGGAUGAUAGAAGAUGAAAGUUGAAGUAAAGUCCAAGAAAAAUAAAUAGGUUUGGAAUUGUUACUGCAAUUAUACCUAUUUUUAAUGACUUUUCAAAACAUAGAUGGUGAACCAUCAGAAAAUUAGUCAGAUACAAAACAAAAGUACAUAUCAAAUGAAAGUAACAAUAAUGAAUUGAUACUGAUAUUGAGGAAACAUACAUCGAAAGGACAGAAAUCAUUACAGUAAUCUAAACACAAUCAUCAAUGGUGCAGAGAUUCAAAGACAAUGUACAGUAAUUCAAGUACAAUAUACUAUCUAAGGACGAUGGCGUAGUAACUCCUAGAGGUUGAAGCCCAAUUUUGAGGGCUUCCAUCGUCUCGUUCCUAGUCGCUAUCAUAUGCGUUACAAGAAUUUUGUACUUAUCGUAUUUUUAUUAG
rnacentral:lncRNA from 1 species